rnacentral:rRNA from 1 species
CAGUCGUACCGACGAGAAAUCAACCUUUCGAGUGCGAACCUGUGGGCGUGCGUGAGUCUUUAACGGGCCUCGCUGUUUGCAAUGUUUGUGCUUUUGGGGUGUACUUUUUUCGUAUGGUGGGUUAACAUCAAUUUCGGUCGUCAUAAAAUGAUUGGAGGAAUGUAGCUUUGAUCUCGUAUCGAAGUGUUAUAGACUCUGGUAGAUGUGACGAUUGGGGAUUUGGAGGUAUUGCAACGGGAUACCCCUUCGGGGCUACCCGUCUGAUCUCUGAAGGUUG